AUUAGAAUUAUUGGGUCAAAUGGUAAUUUUAUUUUUAGUACUGUUAGAAACUGCCAUAAUGUUUCUCAUAGCAGUUACACCAUUUUACAUUCCCAUCAAUAGU
rnacentral:pre_miRNA from 1 species